rnacentral:lncRNA from 1 species
GACGGGGCGGUGCGUGGCUCGUCACGGGUGGGCACAGCUCCACACGGGUGCACAUGGGUGUGCCCAGCUCGGCACAGCUUUACACGGGUAUUCACAACCAUACAUGGGUGUGCACAGCAGUACAUGGUUGUGCCCGGCUGUGCACUGCUUUACAUGGGGGUUCAUGACUGUUCACGGCUGGACAUGGGUGUGCACAAGGUUUCACGGGUGUUCAUGGCUCUACAUGGGUUCUCAUGGCUGUGCACAGGAUGUUCACAGCAGUACACAGCUAUAUCCACCUGUACACGGCUGUUCAUGGCUGUUCACAGCUGUUCAUGGCUGUUCACAGCUGUACACGGGUGUUCACGGGUGUUUAUGGCCACACAUGGCUGUACAUGGGUGUUCAUGGGUGUGCACAGCUCUACACAGCUCCACACCUGUGUUCAUGGUUGUUCAUGGCUCUACAUGGGUGUGCACAACUUUACAUGGGUGUUCAUGGCUGUACACAGGUGUUCAUGCCUGUACAUGUGUGUUCAUUGCUGUACAUGGGUGUGCAGAGCAGUACACGUGUGUCCCUGGCUGUGCACGGCUGUUCAUGGCUCUCACAGCUGUACACAGCUGUACACAGCUGUGCCCAACUUUACACGUCCGUUCACAAAUGUUCACGGCUGGGCACAGGUGUUCUGGCACUACACGGCUGUACACACGUGUUCACGUGUGUUCUCGGCCGUACACAGCUGCCCUGCACACUUACACACAUGUGCUCUGCCCCCACCCUACAGUGACCCCCCUCGAGUCCCUCCCUGUGCCGUGUCCUCCCCGGGAGCUGCCGAGCACCGUCCCCAUCCCGGUGGUCCCGGGACAGCUCUGACCUUUCCCGUGGGGCAGCCCCGGGUGACACGGGGCUGGCACGGGAGGGUGGGGGUGGGUGCUCAGCCCCGGGGGUGUAUUUGGGGGUCUCACAGUCCCGGGUGACACCGGGUGACACGGGGUGACACAGGACGCAGGGUUGGUGGUGGGUGCUCAGCCCCGGGGGUGUAUUUUGGGAUCUCACAGCCCCAGGUCACACAGGACAAGGGGUGGGAGGCGGGUGCUCAGCCCCAGGGGUGUAUUUUGGGGUGCCGGGGGCUGGCACGGCUGGUGCUGCGGGGGUGGCACCGCCGGGGUCCCGGUGUCGCCGAGAAUCCAUCGGGGCCGCGGGGA